rnacentral:tRNA from 1 species
UAAAAUGUAGCUUAACAAAAGCAUCUCGCUUACACCGAGGAAAUACCCGUUUAACCCGGAUCAUUUUAA